UUUUAUGGAGUUUGUAAGGAUAAGCAAAUAAAUGCAUCGCCCACUUCUUGAGUGCCACUGAAACGCUGAUUGCAUGCAAGAUUUGAUCAAUUAGGCUGCUGGUAUUAUCUAUGAUAUUUGCACGUAAGAUUUGACAGGUGACAUCAGCACUGAUUUGCCCACCGUGAAUUCCUGUUUGUGUUACAACAUGCGUAGAGCUAGCCUAUAGCCUCCAUAAAAAAAAUACCAUAGCCUCUCGAGCCGUUAUUAAUUUGUGCCCAUGUACCAACUCCAAGAUAAAACAAUUGUGUCCCUGUACAACAUGUUUUUCUUUUUAAGAAUCUACAACAUGUUGGGCUGACCGUGUGCACGUUCCGAUUUAAUAGGCUUGCAUCGUAUGUUUUUCUGUUCUUUUUUGUGUCUGCUUGGAUAGUAGAUGUCAUAGUAGGACCUUGCCUUUUUAUUUGUACGUGACUUUCUCUAGCUUUUGCAUUGGCUUGCAUCGGCUUAAAUUCCAGCAAGGAAGCAGCAGUCUUGCAACCGGACUUCUAUUCUUUUCUGAAGUUGAACCGGAUUGGCCUUUUUCCUAGCCAAGCAUAGAGUUCCUUGGGUUUCCUUCUAUGAUAGAUUAUCGCAUACCUGCCUAUGAUAAACUCUUUUCACGUGCCAAAGACUGUUUUUUUUUCAUGAUAGAUCUCUUUAUACGAGUCAACAAUUUAUUGUACCGAAUAGGUGCUGUACAUAUCUUUGUUCAUCUUUCAAUCUCGACCGUUCUAAAUAAAAUCAAUGGUAAUUCUUUGAGCAUAUGUGUAUAAACGUGAUGGCUUGUUUGCCUUUUGUCUUAAGUAUAUAAUAAUAGAAGAUUUAUCUAUAAAUUUUGAUUAGAAAUAAGUGUUUUAUUCUACUAUAAUAAUGCAUAUGAUACCAGAUUAGUUGUAAGGAACUUGUUCAGACAUGUUAGAAUGCAAAAAUUUAAUCACAGAAGUAGUACCUGCAGUUAUAUUAUACAAAGUUGAUAACGGUGUUACGGUGGCGUCAUGGUACCGAUGCACUUGAUGUCAUAGCAGUUAUAUUGUACAGGAUGUGCUGAUAUGGUACAGACAUUGUGCGUGCGAUUGACCGUCUAUGUGUCUGCAACGUUGCCGCGUAUAGAUGCGUUGUUGACAUGCCUUGUAUCUCCAGGAUGUGUGGCAACGGCCUAGUGUAUACCAAUGCACUUGAUUCAGGCGUACGGAGGUGUGCCUUUCUCAUCUUGAGCGGAGCCGUGUUGUGUGUUCCAAUCGGAAAGCUAUCAGCCGCCAGCACGGAUUGUAUUCUGUUUAGAGGUCGAGUUCGCAUGCACACUGCAUACUGUCGGGCCUGGAAAUCUACUCAAUAGACAUGCAAUUUCUCCAUGAAGCUCUAAGUUUUCAUCUCUCACCACGAUCCUUGAGUACUGUGGAGCAGCUUCUUCAUCCAGCCUCUUGUUUUCGUCUUCAGCAGGACUACAAGGCGAAUUGCUACAUAAACAGCAGAGAGAGAGCAUGGGGACGGCCUGCCCCACAUCCCAUGAGGAACUUUCGCGCAAAGAAAACACACACAGGGCAGGAAGGGGAAAACAUAUAGGAGUCUCUCUAUUGGAAGGGGAAAAUAUAAUAUUAGACACCAUUUAUUUUUUUGCUCGCUGAUGCAUGCAAUGUAUCAUUUGGCCUUGAUUUAAUGUACUGCACUUUUCUUCAUUGCUCUCUGUUCUUUAAUAAGGCAGACUCAUAUAGAACCUGAUAUUUCUUAGUGAUGUCUUCAGAUCCCAUGAAUGUCAUUUUGCACCGAAGGUUUGUAACCAUUGGGGAAUGUUUUCUUGCUCUGAUGUAUCAAGUUGCCAUGGGGGUGAUCUAGAGGUCUCUUCCUUGUCCAAAGUAUGUCAUACCUAAUCAAGACAUGUUCAUUUAAUUUACCCGUCAUGUAAAUGACACAACAUGAUUCACUUGUGUAUAGUGUAAACAUAUAUUUAUUUAUGGCAAGCAGGUGUUCAAAUUAUAGUUGUGAAACGUGUAUAGUGUAAGGAUAUAAUUAUUAAGGGAAGUGACGUCACAGUGGUC